UCAGGAUGAACGCUAGCGGCAGGCUUAACACAUGCAAGUCGAGGGUAGGGCAGCAAUGCCUGAGACCGGCGCACGGGUGCGUAACGCGUAUGCAAUCUACCUUGUACAGGGGAAUAGCCCAGAGAAAUUUGGAUUAAUGCCCCAUAGUAUAUUUGAAUGGCAUCAUUUAAAUAUUAAAGUUCAGGCGGUACAAGAUGAGCAUGCGUCCCAUUAGCUAGUUGGUAUGGUAACGGCAUACCAAGGCAAUGAUGGGUAGGGGUCCUGAGAGGGAGAUCCCCCACACUGGAACUGAGACACGGUCCAGACUCCUACGGGAGGCAGCAGUGGGGAAUUUUGGACAAUGGACGCAAGUCUGAUCCAGCCAUUCCGCGUGCAGGAUGAAGGCCCUCGGGUUGUAAACUGCUUUUGUACGGAACGAAAAGGUUUCUAUUAAUACUAGGAGCUCAUGACGGUACCGUAAGAAUAAGCACCGGCUAACUACGUG
rnacentral:rRNA from 1 species